ACUCACUGUUACACUCACUGUUACACUCACUGUUACACUCACUGUUACACUCACUCACAUGCUCGAGCACUUCACCGAGUUCCCCAUCCCGCUCGAGUCUGGUGGGGCCAGUGACGUCACCCUCUGUAGCUUCGUGCCACACGCACGGACACAAGGAAGCCAUCAACAACAUCAACAACAUCAGCAACAUCAGCAACAUCAACAUCAACAACAUCAGCAACAUCAACAUCAACAACAUCAACAACAUCAACAUCAACAACAACAUCAACAACAUCAACAACAACAUCAACAACAACAUCAACAACAUCAACAGUCGGCAGCAGAAGAGGCAUCACAAUCACCUCCAGGCCACUCCACCCCCCCCACGAGUUGGCAGCAUCCGUAGAAGCCUCAAGCAGAGUGGGGCCAUCAACAUCAACUUCGUCCCACCCACCCCCACCCACCCCCUCCCCCCCCUUCUCCGUUGUAGUGCAAUGGUACAGUCCAACUAAGUUUGACCUUUCUGGGUGGGGCCGGUCAAUUGCCCACUAGGUAAUGGGGGCGUUGUGGGGGCGGGCGGGGGGUGUUGAACUUUACUUGGUAUGGUCCUGCUACGUCAACAUUCAAUGCAAGUUCGUCACCCCUAUUUUUGAGAGAAGUUGGUGCAGUCCAUUUCAGUGUCUGCCUUAUCCGGGCUGGUCCAAUAUCCAUCCCCGAAUAGGAGGGGGGGGGAGGCGAGGGGAGUUGUGGGGUGUGGGGUGUGGGAUUAGGGGGGGUUUGCUUUUACUUGGUACGGUCCUGCUAUGUGAACAGUCAAUGCAAGUUUUUUUUGUAUUAUUAUUAUUAUUUCCCACUCCACCCCCACGCAUCCCUGAGAGAAUGGUACGGUCCAUUUCCGUCGGUUUCCUGCCCUGCGCCGUUGCUUUGGUAACCAACUUUCUUGGUAACGGGGCGGUUGUGCCCGUCCAUAAAUGACGUCACGCACCUGUAGGGGGGGCACACGGGGAGGGGGGGUGGGGGUGGGG